GAAAACCUCGGACCAAACACAGAUGCCGCCACUGAGUCAGGCUGGCCCUGGUGCUUUCUCACCGUCCUUCACUCUGUGGAGUGUACUUGGGUCCUGCUCAGUUCUUCAUUCCGGAUGCCAAAAGCCUGGAUGCAAGGUACACGUCCACUUUGGAAACUGGUUGGCAUUCCUAAUCAUGAACAUGUGGCUCACGCCUGUAAUCCCGGCCUUCAGGAAAGCUGAGGUGGGAGAAUCCCAAGGUCAAGCCCAGCUGGGGCAACUGAGUGACUGAGCAAGGC
rnacentral:lncRNA from 1 species